rnacentral:rRNA from 1 species
CCUACGGGGGGCUGCAGUGGGGAAUAUUGGACAAUGGGCGAAAGCCUGAUCCAGCCAUGCCGCGUGUGUGAAGAAGGCCUUCGGGUUGUAAAGCACUUUCAGUGGGGAAGAAAGCCUUGGGGCUAAUACCCUCGAGGAAGGACAUCACCCACAGAAGAAGCACCGGCUAACUCCGUGCCAGCAGCCGCGGUAAUACGGAGGGUGCGAGCGUUAAUCGGAAUUACUGGGCGUAAAGCGCGCGUAGGCGGUCUGAUAAGCCGGUUGUGAAAGCCCCGGGCUCAACCUGGGAACGGCAUCCGGAACUGUCAGGCUAGAGUGCAGGAGAGGAAGGUAGAAUUCCCGGUGUAGCGGUGAAAUGCGUAGAGAUCGGAAGGAAUACCAGUGGCGAAGGCGGCCUUCUGGACUGACACUGACGCUGAGGUGCGAAAGCGUGGGUAGCAAACAGGAUUAGAUACCCCGGUAGUC